UACGUAGGGGGCUAGCGCUGUCCGGAUUUAUUGGGCGUAAAGAGCGUGUAGGCGGCCAGGUAGGUCUGCUGUGAAAACUCGAGGCUCAACCUCGAGACGUCGGCGGAAACCAUCUGGCUAGAGUCCGGAAGAGGAGAGUGGAAUUCCUGGUGUAGCGGUGAAAUGCGCAGAUAUCAGGAGGAACACCGAUGGCGAAGGCAGGUCUCUGGGCCACUACUGACGCUGAGAAGCGAAAGCAUGGGGAGCGAACAGG
rnacentral:rRNA from 1 species